rnacentral:rRNA from 1 species
UACGUAGGGUGCAAGCGUUGUCCGGAAUUAUUGGGCGUAAAGAGCUCGUAGGCGGUUUGUCGCGUCUGCUGUGAAAACCCGAGGCUCAACCUCGGGCCUGCAGUGGGUACGGGCAGACUAGAGUGCGGUAGGGGAGAUUGGAAUUCCUGGUGUAGCGGUGGAAUGCGCAGAUAUCAGGAGGAACACCAAUGGCGAAGGCAGAUCUCUGGGCCGUAACUGACGCUGAGAAGCGAAAGCAUGGGGAGCGAACAGG